rnacentral:rRNA from 1 species
UACGAAGGGAGCUAGCGUUGUUCGGAAUCACUGGGCGUAAAGCGCACGUAGGCGGAUGUGUCAGUCAGGGGUGAAAUCCCGGAGCUCAACUUCGGAACUGCCUUUGAUACAGCACGUCUUGAGUCCGAUAGAGGUGGGUGGAAUUCCUAGUGUAGAGGUGAAAUUCGUAGAUAUUAGGAAGAACACCGGCGGCGAAGGCGGCACUCUGGGCCGGUACUGACGCUGAGGAGCGAAAGCGUGGGUAGCAAACAGG